UACGUAGGGUGCAAGCGUUAAUCGGAAUUACUGGGCGUAAAGCGUGCGCAGGCGGUUUUGUAAGUUUGUCGUGAAAUCCCCGGGCUCAACCUGGGAAUGGCGAUGAAGACUGCAAGGCUAGAGUUUGGCAGAGGGGGGGUAGAAUUCCACGUGUAGCAGUGAAAUGCGUAGAUAUGUGGAGGAACACCGAUGGCGAAGGCAGCCCCCCUGGGUCAAAACUGACGC
rnacentral:rRNA from 1 species